UGGGCUGUGGCUCAGUGGUAGAGUGCUUGCCUGGCAUGUGAGAGGCACUGGGUUCAAUUCUCAGCACCGCAU
rnacentral:tRNA from 1 species